GAUGGCUUAGCUCAGUGGUUAGAGCUUACGGCUUGUGACCACGAGAUCCCGGGUUUGAAUCUCGCCAGAGGAAGAA
rnacentral:tRNA from 1 species